GACGAACGCUGGCGGCGUGCUUAACACAUGCAAGUCGAACGGAAAGGCCCUGCUUUUGUGGGGUGAUCGAGUGGCGAACGGGUGAGUAACACGUGAGUAACCUGCCCUUGACUUUGGGAUAACUUCAGGAAACUGGGGCUAAUACCGGAUAGGAGCUCCUGCUGCAUGGAGGGGGUUGGAAAGUUUCGGCGGUUGGGGAUGGACUCGCGGCUUAUCAGCUUGUUGGUGGGGUAGUGGCUUACCAAGGCAUUGACGGGUAGCCGGCCUGGGAGGGUGACCGGGCUCCUUGGUACUGAGGGACGCCGCAGUCUGCUACAUUGGGCAGCAGUGGGGAAUAUUGCACAAUGGGCGCACGCCUGUUGCGGCAGCGCCGCGUUCGUGAUGACGGCCUGCGGGUUGUAAACCGCUUUCGCCUAUGACGAAGCGUUAGUGACGGUAAUGGGUAAAGAAGCACCGGCUAACUACGUG
rnacentral:rRNA from 1 species